AAGUUAAGGACAUGGACCUACAAUUUACAACAUGCAGGCUCACCAGGUCUGCCUGCUCAUUAUAAAUUGAAGAUCAGAAUCUGAAUGUGGGGAAGGGGAGAGAGAGAGAGAGGAUUUAUCAAUGGAAUAGCAUAACACGCAAAAAGGUAUUGUACAAAGCCGCCACUUAACUUCUUCAAUGGAAGCAGACGAUGCUCAAUAGCUUGCAGCACUGGGCCUUGACUCUUUGGACAGCUUUGCUUUAAAUUACUCCGUAAACAGACAACGUGUAAUUGUUUUUUAUUGUGGCAAAGCAAAGAAAAGGUGUGUGUGAGAGAGAGAAAUGUACUGAAUUGAAAGUGGGCAAAAUUUUUUCUUUCGUUACUAAAGACUCAUUCAUAUGAAGUAACGAAUAUUAAAAAUGCAUGCUAUUGACUUCAAGACACUGUAGGAUGGAUUCAUGAAUAACAGAUUACAGUCCAAAUUUUGCUCCAGUGUGAAUCUUGACUUCAUUUGACAGCAAAUGGGAUAUAAUUUAGCACUGCAGCAUUACAAAGAGCAGAACUUGUCUCCAUAUAUGUAGGCGGAACAUCACAGAAAUGCCACCAGGACUGGGAUGGAACAGAGCAGCUGUCUAACUGUGCACAACAGCACUUCACAACAAAGAAAGUGAAGAAUACCAUGUCCAACUGAAACUGCAAACGGAAUUUAAGUAGGUGGAAUGUAAUAACCACAGUUGAAAUCCGGCCAGGAUAUUGGCGUUAACCACCCACACUCUUGCUAAAAGGCUUCUGGGAUCUUUACUGACCAAAAGCAUUCAGAUCCUCUGUUUUAUAUCUCAUCCUAAAGACAGCAUCUCCAGCACCACCGUCCCCCACUAUCAAUCGGCUGGAGCAUUGGUUCAGUACUACUACAGAGGGAACAGUAUCACCUACUAGAUCACUAAUUAUCAGCACUUCUUUAGGAUCUGGAUUUUCUCUAGAGGACUUCCAUCGCUCUCUCUCCAAUAUAAAUCCUCUCUAUUCCUAAAAUCCCAUCAACCUUAAAUCUCCACAAUAAUUAAUCUCUUUACAACAUUCUGAAUACUUGGCCCUGUAAGAUUGUGGUAUAAUGAAGUGAAGCGUGUUGGAACAAAUAAUAUAAAGAUGCACAGAGU